rnacentral:rRNA from 1 species
UACGAAGGGAGCUGAGCGUUGUUCGGAAUCACUGGGCGUAAAGCGCACGUAGGCGGAUUUGUCAUCAGGGGUGAAAUCCCGGGGCUCAACCCCGGAAACGUGCCUUCAAAAACCUGCGGGUCUGGAGGGUCGGAGAGAGGUGAGUGGAAUUCCGAGGUGUAGAGGUGAAAUUCGUAGAUAUUCGGAAGGAACACCAGUGGCGAAGGCGGCUCACAUGGCUCGAUACUGACGCUGAGGUGCGAAAGCGUGGGGAGCAAACAGGA